AGAGUUUGAUCAUGGCUCAGAUUGAACGCUGGCGGCAUGCCUUACACAUGCAAGUCGAACGGCAGCGCGGGGCAACCUGGCGGCGAGUGGCGAACGGGUGAGUAAUAUAUCGGAACGUGCCCUGGAGUGGGGGAUAACGCAGCGAAAGUUGCGCUAAUACCGCAUACGAUCUAAGGAUGAAAGCGGGGGAUUCGCAAGAACCUCGUGCUCCUGGAGCGGCCGAUAUCUGAUUAGCUAGUUGGUGGGGUAAAGGCCUACCAAGGCAUCGAUCAGUAGCUGGUCUGAGAGGACGACCAGCCACACUGGAACUGAGACACGGUCCAGACUCCUACGGGAGGCAGCAGUGGGGAAUUUUGGACAAUGGGCGAAAGCCUGAUCCAGCAAUGCCGCGUGAGUGAAGAAGGCCUUCGGGUUGUAAAGCUCUUUUGUCAGGGAAGAAACGGUGUGGGCUAAUAUCCCGCACUAAUGACGGUACCUGAAGAAUAAGCACCGGCUAACUACGUGCCAGCAGCCGCGGUAAUACGUAGGGUGCAAGCGUUAAUCGGAAUUACUGGGCGUAAAGCGUGCGCAGGCGGUUUUGUAAGUCUGUCGUGAAAUCCCCGGGCUCAACCUGGGAAUUGCGAUGGAGACUGCAAGGCUAGAAUCUGGCAGAGGGGGGUAGAAUUCCACGUAGCAGUGAAAUGCGUAGAGAUGUGGAGGAACACCGAUGGCGAAGGCAGCCCCCUGGGUCAAGAUUGACGCUCAUGCACGAAAGCGUGGGGAGCAAACAGGAUUAGAUACCCUAGUAGUCC
rnacentral:rRNA from 1 species